GGGAGCAUGGCUUAGUGUUAGAGUACUUGCCUAGCAUGCAAGAGGCCCUGGGUACUGGGGGCCCAGUACAGCCC
rnacentral:tRNA from 1 species